CUCCUGGCCGCCCGCCCCAUAUUGACCUAUCUCUUCGUAGUGCAGCCCCGUGGAACUUUUCUUCCUCGUCCUCAACAGCCGUGGCCUAGAUCUUUGGAGACUGCAUGCCGGAGGCGUUUGUAUAGGCGAGGAAGGUGGCAGCGGUCUUGAGGCGGUGCCCCGGGUGUAGACUGGCGGCUUUCAUCGAGGCCAAAAAUUCAUGGGGCUCCAGAUCUCCACCAGAUCUAUCGGCAAUGGAAGACGGGGUACUGGGGUUCCAGUCUUGGGAGCAACAUCACGAGAUCGUCAGAAUAUGGGUCGCGGGUAGUUAUUUUUAGUGCCACCAAUGCAGGGACGGACCAGAGGCGUUCAUUUAUCUUGCUGCUUUGUCAUCUCUUUUGCCUGCCAGGACAUGGAAAGAAAUAUAGCCCGCUAGCUCUUGGAUCUACCAUCGGUUCAAUUUCAAAUCUUCUAUUCUGACAUGUGCUUUUGAAUUCGCUUGUUAUCUUGGAAUAGUAUACCACGUAUUUGCUAUCUCUGAUGUCCUUUAUUUUGCUGAAUUUCCUGGUUAUGUUUGGAAUGCGUACAAUUGUUAAUACUGAAACAGCGUUUGCAUCUCAAUCUGUACACUGUAAAUUAUACGUAACUGAUAGGUAUUACCAUGGGAAUAGUGGACAGACUAGGUUAUGGUUCUGAGUAUAUUCUAAAAAAACAUAUUUACUCUUACUUCGUGAAGCUCUGUUCUUAUCAAUUUUUUAACGUCACUACAUAUAUAGAUGACUUCCUCUAGUUCUAGACCUUCAGGUAACAUGCAUAAUUAUUAUAUCAUAAUUCACAAGGCUCUAGUGUUGUAAUCUUCUGGUAGUGUGCCAUGUUUAUUAGGAGGAGUAUCAAUUAAUUCUUUUGUUACUGUAUAUAUUUCCUAGCUAUGUAGGACAAUCAGUUGCUACUUCAACUGAGGUAAGAUAUUCUGUGUCACCUACACAUGCUACGAUUAUCUGGUUGAUUUCUAUCUGCAUGCUAAUUAUUUUCAGUAUUUACCUAAUGACUAUAAAUGACUCUUAAACAGAUCAAUUUUCAUAUGCCUUGGCUUUCGGUGUCACUGGACUCUUGUAUACUCAAUGUGUGCAGACAACUGGAUGAUGAUGUUGUUGAAGUGUGUGGAGAUUGGAAGAUGAGCAUUUGCUGGUAGAACAAUGUCAUGUAUUUUAGUUGUGUAGUCCCUAGCUUUCAUGUACAAUCUGAAAUAAUGUAUAUAUACGUGCUUGUUCACUUUUUUAGAUUCCUUUUUUUUAGUAUAAUGGCUAUAGAAAAGAUAACUUUUUUUUGUCCUCCUAAGGCUGCGUCUUGUAUUUCGACAUAUGGAGAACCCAUUAAUAUAUGGGUUGUCUUGUAUAUUUGUAAUAAAUAUAUUAAUAUAUUUAAUUUGUGGA